rnacentral:lncRNA from 1 species
ACGCACGAUACCGCGCAGAACUAAGCGAGAUAUGUGUUAGCUGCGCCUACGCGAUAUGCAGGUUAUAUUAGCCCGAUGGAAAGAAACCCCAUUCGCUACUUCGUUCUGCUAAGCCGCGCAUGGCGGACUACAUCAACGAUCUGUGUCUGUACUGCUGCGGUUGUUGCCAUGCAUUGCGCGAAGUCGAUUUCGGGCUGGUUUGGCCAGCGCGCCGUUUCGAGCGCCUCGAUUCCAGCGGCUCUCCCGAACGUUCCGGUUCCACUCCCUUUAACGAAGGUUCCCGUUCCACUUGUUCUUCCGAAAGUUCCGGUCCCGCCGCCUCUUCCGAACGCUCCAGUCCCACUCCCUAUCCCGAACAGUCCAGCUCCAGCCCCACUUCAAGAUAUUUCAGAACGACCUCCCCUCCUAAACUGCCGAGCGCCUCUGCAUGUCCUGAAACUUCCAGGUCCACCCCUGGAUGCUUGGCGGCCCUUGGUGCCUCACUUCAUAGUAUGCUGCGGAUAUGCAUGCUGAUGAUGUUCCACGGUAUGCGUGCCGUGCUGCCAUCCUGGCUCCGUUCAUGGCUGCACAUGUAGGCGGAAUCCAGGCGGCGACGUAUUGGAAGGAGGCGCGUUGCCUAUGAAAUAACGUGAAGCGAAGUCAAACGACACCGGACAAUCACGAUUAAGGGAGAAAAAUCUAACCAUUCCUCUUGGCAUUUGGCAUGCACUUGUACAUUGUUUUCCCGUCUCACAGUGAACCAGCCUUGUAGAACAUAGGAUCAAAUAAAUACCAUUUCGUGGGAACUUUUA